rnacentral:rRNA from 1 species
UACGUAGGGUGCAAGCGUUAAUCGGAAUUACUGGGCGUAAAGCGUGCGCAGGCGGUUCGUUAUGUCCGUUGUGAAACGCCCGGCUCAACCUGGGAAUGGCAAUGGAAACUGGCGAGCUAGAGUGUGGCAGGAGGGGGGUGGAAUUCCGCGUGUAGCAGUGAAAUGCGUAGAGAUGCGGAGGAACACCGAUGGCGAACGGCAGCCCCCUGGGCUAGCACUGACGCUCAGGCACGAAAGCGUGGGGAGCAAACAGG